rnacentral:rRNA from 1 species
CUAUACAUGACUCUGCGCAUAUCAAUAAGCGGAGGAAAAGAAACUAACAAGGAUUCCCUUAGUAACGGCGAGUGAAGCGGGAAGAGCUCAAAUUUGAAAUCUUCAAGGUUCUACCUUGACGAAUUGUAGUUUAUAGAAGUGUUUUCUGUUAGUGGAGUGGCAAAAGUUCUUUGGAAUAGGACAUCAUAGAGGGUGAGAAUCCCGUAUUUGGUCAUUCCUCCUAGCGUUGUGAUACACUUUCAACGAGUCGGAUUGUUUGGGAAUGCAGUCCAAAAUGGGUGGUAAAUUUCAUCUAAAGCUAAAUAUUGGCGAGAGACCGAUAGCGAACAAGUACCGUGAGGGAAAGAUGAAAAGAACUUUGAAAAGAGAGUUAAACAGUACGUGAAAUUGUCAAAAGGGAAGCGUUUGACACCAGUGUUGUUUUUCCGAAAAUCAAUUAAGAAUGGCCGGAUUUUAAGUUUCAUGACCUUAAAAGCUUGUUUCUUAUUUUUCUUGUCUUUCUUAAUGCACUUUUCGGUUAACAAGUCAGCAUCAAUUUCUUUUGUUGUAAAAGGUUAAGAGGAGGGUGGCUUUACUUUCGGGUAAAGUGUUUAUAGCCUUUUAACUCUGCAAUCGGAGAGAUUGAGGUCUGCAGCGUAGAUCCUUCGGGGCUAGAUACGUUUGUGCUAAGUUAUAGCUUUUCAUAGACAACUUGUUGACUAUGUUUAGUCUUGUAGCUUACUCGCAUGCGCUAUUUUACCUACGCUUAGGAUGUUGACGAGACUGUCGAUCUCACCUAUACAUGACUCUGUGCAUAUCAAUAAGCGGAGGAAAAGGCGUUUACCUACGCUUAGGAUGUUGACGAGACUGUCGAUCUCAUCUAUACAUGACUCUGCGCAUAUCAAUAAGCGGAGGAAAAGGCUGCGGAACUGAACGACCGCUACCUACGCUUAGGAUGUUGACGAGACUGUCGAUCUCAUCUAUACAUGACUCUGCGCAUAUCAAUAAGCGGAGGAAAAGCGCAUUAAAGAUCCAGAUACCUACGCUUAGGAUGUUGACGAGACUGUCGAUCUCAUCUAUACAUGACUCUGUGCAUAUCAAUAAGCGGAGGAAAAGUCAAUACCUACGCUUAGGAUGUUGACGAGACUGUCGAUCUC